rnacentral:lncRNA from 1 species
GCAAAAUCCAGCUUGGGCAAGGGUGUCGCCGGCCCCCUCUUAUGCUGGUGGGGGAGGGCGAUUUGGUACCACCCCUUUAGGGGCCUAAAUACAGCCCUCGCACUUCUGCACCAAGGAAUUUAACCUAAGAAAAUAGUCCGACUUGGGCAAAAAACGGUUUGUACAAGCAAUAGUCAAGCUAGCAUUGUUCGUUAUAAAAGACAGCAAAAACCCUAAAUUUCUACAGGAAAGGGGAUAAAGUCUGGUGCUAUAAAACUCCGUUUCCGGAGGAAUCCCACCUGUAUCUGAAUGCAUGGGGCGCUCUCCGAGCUACGUUAAGUAUAAGAGCCCCAAGUAAAGUAACUGACCUUUUGCAGAAACGCACGUAGAUGUUCCUGCAUAGACUUUCUUUGCAGACCCGUAAGAAACGGGUUUCCCUCUGCCCCAGGGGAGAACUGGGCCUUGGAGGUUAGGACUGGGAAAAACACAUCAAGUCUUCACCAAAUACCCUUUCAGGCUCCUUGAAUUUUCUACUCUGUGCACCUGAACACACUUUUGUUCUCUUGCAAGCAGUUGCUUUGCACUGGAGGCAAUGAAGACACGGCGGAGUCCCAGCUCGCAGGGAGCUCAGGUUCUGACGGCGUCAGAGGACAACACGCUCUGGACCAGCGCAGCGCCCAAGGGUCAGCGGCAGCAGCGAGCAGGGGGCACGGGAUGCGGGGAGGCUCUUCGGGAGGCAUGAAAGGCAGACGUGUUCCGAAACGUGAGCCGC